rnacentral:misc_RNA from 1 species
AAAAGUUGUGAUCACAUGUAAUGCUGUGCGGAGAGGGGCCAAAGUCAUCUAUCUCAAAGAUAUUGUUGAUAAUGCGUUGGUCGAGGCGAAUAAAAAUGGGGUUCCUGUAGGUUUGUGUUUGACUUAUGAAAACAAUUCAGCCAUGAAGAGAGAAGCGACAAAAUGGCAAGAUGGAAGGGAUAUUUGGUGGCAGGACGUUGUCAGAAAGUACUCG